rnacentral:rRNA from 1 species
AUAUUUCCCAUUGGGGUGAACCCUGACGCAGCACCGCCGCGUGAGUGACGAGGGCCUUCGGGUCGUAAAACUCUGUCAUAGGGGAAGAAGGAAGUGACGGUACCCUAUGAGGAAGCCCCGGCUAGCUACGUGCCAGCACCCGCGGUAAUACGUAGGGGGCGAGCGUUGUCCGGAAUCACUGGGCGUAAAGGGUGCGUAGGCGGCCAAUUAAGUCAGAUGUGAAAUACCAGGGCUCAACCCUGGGGGUGCAUUUGAAACUGGAUGGCUUGAGUGCAGGAGAGGAAAGUGGAAUUCCUAGUGUAGCGGUGAAAUGCGUAGAGAUUAGGAGGAACACCAGUGGCGAAGGCGACUUUCUGGACUGUAACUGACGCUGAGGCACGAAAGCUAGGGGAGCAAAC